AAUAUUGGACAAUGGGCGCAAGCCUGAAUCCAGCCAUGCCGCGUGGGUGAUGAAGGCCCUAGGGUUGUAAAGCCCUUUUGGCGGGGAAGAUAAUGACGGUACCCUCAGAAGAAGCCCCGGCAAACUUCCUGCCAGCAGCCGCGGUAAUACGAAGGGGGCAAGCGUUGCUCGGAAUCACUGGGCGUAAAGCGCACGUAGGCGGCUUUUUAAGUAAGGGGUGAAAUCCUGGAGCUCAACUCCAGAACUGCCUUUGAUACUGAGAAGCUUGAGUCCGGGAGAGGUGAGUGGAACUGCGAGUGUAGAGGUGAAAUUCGUAGAUAUUCGCAAGAACACCAGUGGCGAAGGCGGCUCACUGGCCCGGUACUGACGCUGAGGUGAGAAAGCGUGGGGAGCUAACAGGAUUAGAUACCCUGGUAGUCCACACCGUAAACGAUGGAUGCUAGCCGUUGUCGGGUUUACCCGUCAGUGGCGCAGCUAACGCAUUAAGCAUCCCGCCUGGG
rnacentral:rRNA from 1 species